CCUGACGCAGCGACGCCGCGUGGGUGAUGAAGGCCUUCGGGUUGUAAAGCUCUGUGGGGAGGGACGAAUAAGUCGUGGCUAAUAUCCACGAUGAUGACGGUACCUCUUUAGCAAGCACCGGCUAACUCUGUGCCAGCAGCCGCGGUAAGACAGAGGGUGCGAACGUUGUUCGGAAUUACUGGGCGUAAAGCGCGUGUAGGCGGUGAGGCAAGUCGGAUGUGAAAGCCCGGGGCUCAACCUCGGAAGUGCACUCGAUACUGCCUCGCUGGAGUCCCGGAGAGGAUGGUGGAACUCUCGGUGUAGAGGUGAAAUUCGUAGAUAUCGAGAAGAACACCGGUGGCGAAGGCGGCCAUCUGGACGGUGACUGACGCUGAGACGCGAAAGCGUGGGGAGCAAACAGGAUUAGAUACCCUGGUAGUCCACGCCGUAAACGAUGGGUGCUAGGUGUCAUGGGUAUUGACCCCUAUGGUGCCGUAGCUAACGCAUUAAGCACCCCGCCUGGGAAGUACGGCCGCAAGGCUAAAACUCAAAUGAAUUGACGG
rnacentral:rRNA from 1 species